GGUGAAGUGUCAGAUGAGGCUAUAUUUU
rnacentral:piRNA from 1 species